rnacentral:rRNA from 1 species
UACGGAGGGUGCAAGCGUUAUCCGGAUUUACUGGGUUUAUAGGGUUCGUAGGCGGUGCGGCAAGUUGGGAGUGAAAUCUAUGGGCUCAACCUAGAGGCUGCUUCCAAAACUGCUGUGCUUGAGUGUGGGAGAGGCGCGUGGAAUUGCAGGUGUAGCGGUGAAAUGCGUAGAUAUCUGCAGGAACACCCGUGGCGAAAGCGGCGCGCUGGACCACAACUGACGCUGAGGAACGAAAGCUAGGGGAGCAAACAGG